rnacentral:rRNA from 1 species
UGGUGACGAUAGCGAAGAGGUCACACCCGUUCCCAUUCCGAACACGGAAGUUAAGCUCUUCAGCGCCGAUGGUAGUUGGGGGUUUCCCCCUGUGAGAGUAGGACGUCGCCA